AUACGGAGGAUGCAAGCGUUAUCCGGAUUUAUUGGGUUUAAAGGGUGCGUAGGCGGUUUGCUAAGCGGGAGGUGAAAUGCCGGCGCUCAACGUCGGAAGUGCCUCCCGAACUGGUGGACUGGAAUGACUCUGCCGUGGGAGGAAUGUGUAGUGUAGCGGUGAAAUGCUUAGAGAUUACACAGAACACCGAUUGCGAAGGCAUCUCACGAAGUGUUGAUUGACGCUGAGGCACGAAAGCGUGGGGAUCAAACAGGAUUAGAUACCCUGGUCGUCCACGCAGUAAACGAUGAUGGCUAACCGCUGGGCUUAUCAGUUCAGUGGCCAAGCGAAAGCGAUAAGCCAUCCACCUGGGGAGUACGACCGCAAGGUUGAAACUCAAAUGAAUUGGCGGGG
rnacentral:rRNA from 1 species